GUAGUCUGCAACCCGAACCUACAUGAAGCUGGAAUCGCUAGUAAUCGCGGAUCAGAAUGCCGCGGUGAAUACGUUCCCGGGUCUUGUACACACCGCCCGUCACACCAUGGGAGUCGGAAAUGCCCGGGAGUCUGUGACCUAACCGUAAGGAAGGAGCAGCCGAAGGCAGGUCGGAUGACUGGGGUGAAGUCGUAACAAGGUACC
rnacentral:rRNA from 1 species